rnacentral:lncRNA from 1 species
UUCUCAUUUUAUUGAGAUUUUCAACAGCUGCCAUUCAGUUUGUAUAGCAAUUUUUUCAAGUGACUUUUUUCCGUUUUUAUGAAAAUUAUUUUGUUUUAAAUCCCUUUCCCUCCCCCCAAACAGUAUUAAUAACUGCCAUGUAAUGUUUAUUUAGGAGGGAAGAAAAGCCAGCUUUUAAACACUUGUGAAGCAGAAACAUGAUUCUAGACCUAGGCCAGCUGAGGUGCCAGGCUGCCCAGGUCACCAUUAACACUUGUCACCAUCCACAGCCAGCUGGCGGGCCAUGCACAGACCCUCUGGGGCUUCUUAUUCCACAAGCUCCAUUCCUUUUUCCUUUCCACCUCUGUUGUGGGCCCUCUUUCCCUCCAAAUGUGUCCAACAAAGGCAGUACAACCUUUAAUACAUGGUCAGUUUUAUAAAUGGAGACAUGACACUGUAUGUAGAAAGUUCAGAGAUUCCCCCAUCCAGUCUAGGGGGAAAAGAAACAUCCAGCACAGCACUGAUGGUUUUACUUGCUUGUCCACUCAAGCACAUGCUCAUUGAAUGGAUCUAUCAGAUGCUUCAAAAAUCCUGAUGUGUAGCAGACAGCAUAAAAGUUGCUUAUAAAAAAGAAAUUGAAAAUUAUAAAAAUCUGUGCAGCAGCUGAGGCUCCUUUUAUGGAACUUCUGAUAGCAAAGCUGGUUUUGAAAAGGAAUUUCUUUGACAUACACAGUAGCUUCCCUUAUGGAACUCUACGUUUAGAGGCUUCCAUUUGGACCAUAGGAAGUUGAAAUCCAAGUUUAAAAGGUUCUUUGCUGACAUAAUGGCAUACCCAUUAAUGGGAUAUUGUUCAGCCAUAAAAAGAACCACCAAAACAUGUCACGGACGAGCCUCAAAAACGUGCUAAGUGAAAAGAACCAGAUGGCACAUAGUGUACGAUUCCACUGACGUGAAAUGUCCAGAAAAGGUGUAUAUACAGAAACAAAGUGAUGGGGAUGGGAGCAAGGGCUGACUAAAUGAUCAUGAAGGAUCUUAUUGGGAGGGAUGAAAACAUUCUAAAGCUAAGUAAUGGUUAUGGCUACACCACUGAGGAAAGUUACUGAAACCACCAACUUAUACACUUGAAAUGUGAGAAUUUACUGUAAGUAAAAUAUGCAUCACUAAAAUUGUUUUUUAAAAAAGAACUCCCUGCUUAACCAACCACCUGUCAAGCAUUAAGCAUUUUUGAAAGCUCACAACAGGACAGAGUGAAACAUCUUACUAUUUUAUAGAAAAUAUAUUUUAUUAUUUAUAAGAUAGUAAGAUAUUUAAAAUGUUUAUUAUUGUGGGGCUGGGGAUUUAGCUCAUUAGUAGAGUGCUUGCCUGGCAUGUGCAAGGCCCUGAGUUUGUU